UAGGCUGAAACUCGCCUACAUGAAGCUGGAGUUACUAGUAAUCGCAGAUCAGAAUGCUGCGGUGAAUGCGUUCCCGGGUCUUGUACACACCGCCCGUCACACCACGGAAGUUGGGGGCGCCCGAAGCCACUUAGCUAACCCUUUUGGGAAGCGAGUGUCGAAGGUGAAAUCAAUAACUGGGGUGAAGUCGUAACAAGGUAGC
rnacentral:rRNA from 1 species